GCCAGGCGUGGUGGUGCACGCCUGUAAUCCCAGUCCUUGGGAGGCUGAGAUAGAAGGAUCACAAGUUCAAAGCCAGCUCUCAGCAAUUUGGCAGACCCUAAGCAACUCAGUGAGACCCUGUCUCAA
rnacentral:sRNA from 1 species